rnacentral:rRNA from 1 species
CGGGGGGAGCUAAGCGUUGUUCGGAUUACUGGGCGUAAAGGGCGCGUAGCGGUCAGCGCAAGUCAGUUGUGAAAUCUCCGGGCUUAACUCGGAACGGUCAACUGAUACUGUGCGGCUAGAGUGCAGAAGGGGCAACUGGAAUUCUCGGUGUAGCGGUGAAAUGCGUAGAUAUCGAGAGGAACACCUGCGGCGAAGGCGGGUUGCUGGGCUGACACUGACGCUGAGGCGCGAAAGCCAGGGGAGCGAACGGGAUUAGAUACCCCGGUAGUCCUGGCCUUAAACGAUGGAUGCUUGGUGUCUGGAGUUAUAUAGUCUCCGGGUGCCGCAGCUAACGCGUUAAGCAUCCCGCCUGGGGAGUACGGUCGCAAGACUG